GAUGAACGCUAGCUACAGGCUUAACACAUGCAAGUCGAGGGGUAACGAGAGGAAAGCUUGCUUUCCUUGUCGGCGACCGGCGCACGGGUGAGUAACGCGUAUCCAACCUGCCCCCAACUAGGGAAUAACCUUGCGAAAGUAAGACUAAUACCCUAUAAUUUCCUCAGAUGUCAUCUGACGAGGAACAAAGAUUUAUCGGUUGUAGAUGGGGAUGCGUCUGAUUAGCUUGUUGGCGGGGUAACGGCCCACCAAGGCAACGAUCAGUAGGGGUUCUGAGUGGAAGGUCCCCCACACAGGAACUUAGACACGGUCCAAACUCCUACGAGAGGCAGCAGUGAGGAAUAUUGGUCAAUGGGCGGAAGCCUGAACCCGCCAAGUAGCGUGCAGGAUGACGGCCCUAUGGGUUGUAAACUGCUUUUAUACAGGAAUAAAGUUAGCCACGUGUGGUUAUUUGUAGGUACUGUAUGAAUAAGGACCGGCUAAUUCCGUGCCAGCCGCCGCCGUAA
rnacentral:rRNA from 1 species